rnacentral:rRNA from 1 species
GGGGAAUAUUGGACAAUGGGCGCAAGCCUGAUCCAGCCAUGCCGCGUGAGUGAUGAAGGCCCUAGGGUUGUAGAGCUCUUUUGUGCGGGAAGAUAAUGACGGUACCGCAAGAAUAAGCCCCGGCUAACUUCGUGC